UACGGGGGGGGCAAGCGUUGUUCGGAAUUACUGGGCGUAAAGGGCUCGUAGGCGGCCAACUAAGUCGGACGUGAAAUCCCCUGGCUCAACUGGGGAACUGCGCUGGAUACUGGUGGACUUGAGUACCGGAGAGGAGACUGGAAUUCCUGGUGUAGCGGUGAAAUGCGCAGAUAUCAGGAGGAACACCGGUGGCGAAGGCGGGUCUCUGGGCCGAUACUGACGCUGAGGAGCGAAAGCGUGGGGAGCGAACAGG
rnacentral:rRNA from 1 species